UAGUCACGCGUAAACGAUGAGUGCUAAGUGUUGGAGGUUUCCCCUUCAGUGCUGCAGCUAACGCAUUAAGCACUCCGCUGGGGAGUACGACCGCAAGGUUGAAACUCAAAGGAAUUGACGGGGGCCCGCACAAGCGGUGGAGCAUGUGGUUUAAUUCGAAGCAACGCGAAGAACCUUACCAGGUCUUGACAUCCUUUGACCACUCUAGAGAUAGAGCUUUCCCUUCGGGGACAAAGUGACAGGUGGUGCAUGGUUGUCGUCAGCUCGUGUCGUGAGAUGUUGGGUUAAGUCCCGCAACGAGCGCAACCCUUAUUGUUAGUUGCCAUCAUUCAGUUGGGCACUCUAGCGAGACUGCCGGUGAUAAACCGGAGGAAGGUGGGGAUGACGUCAAAUCAUCAUGCCCCUUAUGACCUGGGCUACACACGUGCUACAAUGGGAAGUACAACGAGUCGCUAGGCCGCGAGGUCAUGCAAAUCUCUUAAAGCUUCUCUCAGUUCGGAUUGCAGGCUGCAACUCGCCUGCAUGAAGCCGGAAUCGCUAGUAAUCGCGGAUCAGCACGCCGCGGUGAAUACGUUCCCGGGCCUUGUACACACCGCCCGUCACACCACGAAAGUUUGUAACACCCGAAGUCGGUGAGGUAACCUUUUGGAGCCAGCCGCCUAAGGUGGGAUAGAUGAUUGGGGUGAAGUCGUAACAAGGUAACCAAGGGCGAAUUCCAG
rnacentral:rRNA from 1 species